UUUCCCGGGAUCAGCGGGCAGCAGAGACGCUGGGCUGGACACGGGGCCCAUCACCACAGCCCGGCCACUCUUCCCAGGAGUGGGGCAGCGCAGCUGGAGGGGCUGGGACAGGGCCAGCUGUCACAGCACGAUGCUCCAAAGCACACAGCUCCCCUGCUUCCUGUCAUUUCCCUGCCCAGCAAACACAGGGAGAGGCCAGCCCAGAGCAUGGACACGAGUGGGGGAACCCCCUUCCGGCAGGGCUCUUGUGCCAGUAUCUCCAGAGGGUCAGAAACAGACAUAGCACCACAAACCAUGUCCUCCUGCCCAAUCCAUGCCUCAUGUGAGACCUCUCUGCCCUCCAUGCUUCAUCUGCACAGGGUUCCACCGUGGAAGGCCACCGUGGCUGUCAUUACUCCAGUGUGGAGCUGAGGAACAGGUGGACCAAGUGACCUGCUCAUGGCCAGCUGGGAAAGCAUUGCAGGGCAGGGAUUGACCCCAAGUGUCUCAGCUUCCCCUGAAGAGCAGCUCAGCACUGACUCCAUUCACGUGGCUUCAGCUCACGGUGGCAGAGCUGUCCCUGUGGGAGCUCACACCGUGGGAAGGCCGGCUCUCCCCUCGGAGGGCAAGCAAGGGACAGAUUGAAACCGAAAGCCCUUGUUUUGCUUUUCACACUACAAAAGUUAGCUGACAUCAGUGGUCUCCUCCCAGAAAAAGGGGAACUAAACCUGGACCUGAGGGGAAACCAGAUCCUCGGCAGGCUCCCAAGUCAAUGGGGGCUGAUGCUGGCAAGAGUUGUGCUCCAUGCCGUGCCUGCAGUUUCCCCAGGUAAAAAUGUGCUGGAGAAGGCACAGGCAGCUCCAGUGGGCAGGGCAGGAGCAGGGAGGCGUCAGGUGGCUUGCAAGGACCAGAGAGGACCAAAGAUGGAGACCCAGUC